rnacentral:snRNA from 1 species
AAGAGUUAUAAGGAUUUUAAAA